rnacentral:lncRNA from 1 species
GUUAUGCGAGGAACCCAGCAGAACGCAGCCCUCCUCCCGCCCAAAAAAACAAUGAAUGCAAAAUGGAUCCAUGCAGGAGAUUGCUUUUAUUGGGAUUGGCGGCUCUUGCAUGAUCGGAGGAGGAGGACAAUCAACAAAAUAAGCGCCGACAGCUUUGAUAAAACCCAUAUCUGCAGGAAAUAAACCAGAACGGUCGUUUGUCUAUACAUUUGAGUAUUAUAACUCAUAUAAAUAUGUGUACAUUAAUGGAAACCCAUGAAAGGAUACCCUUUUGCAUAUUCCGCAGUUUGAAAAUAUGACAGAAAAUUUGCAUAUGGCUGGGAAUAACAUCUGCAGACUUCUUUAAUUGGUGAAGCAGCAAGGCCGUGACAAGGAAUAUUUGCGCCCGUUGCAAAGUUGUAAAACGGCGCCUCCAAGCACCCUUCCUAUUCAACAUUGGCUAGUUUCGAGCCCAGAUUGUCGCCAUCUCCCCUUGGCACGACCCUGUGGAGCAGUACUUGGUCCAAAGAGGAAAACAACUUAAAACAUUUUGUUAACAGCCCAGCCGGGUCUGUGUCUUGGCGACAUGAAGAUACUGGCGUUCAAAUAAGUUAAACAAAUUAAAAAUGCAAAUAAAUUCAAUAUAAU